UUUGGUUCUAGGCUCAGCUUUGCUACUUUGGGCAGCAGAACCUAAGCUGCACUUUAGUGCCUGGUUUAACUAUAAAAGCACCUGCAAGGUGGCCAUUUUGACAGGCUGGGAAGCAUAGCCUCCAGUCAGAAAUCAGAAACAGAAACUUCAAGUGAGAGGUAAGGGGAACAGGAAUUUAUGCUAAGCAGGGUGGCUGAUUAUACAUAUUCAAUAAACUAUAGGAGGAGUCAUGAAUAUUUAUAAAAGGA
rnacentral:lncRNA from 1 species